AAAGUCAAAAGAAACUUUCAAAAACACUUGUAACAGCAUUACGGGCACAGGACAGUCAUAACUUUGUAGAUGCUGCUUAGAAAUUGUGUAAACUGAACGAUUCGUAAAAAAAAUCCUACAUUUUAAUCUGCGAUUUAACUUUCUCAGUCAUUAGUGUCUUUUUAAACUGUGUAUCGAAUUCAUUACUUCUUAAUUCGAUUAAUAUAGAUAUAAAUAUUACCGCUCGUUUCAUCAAACAAGGAUUCUCUCAAAGUAUGAAGCAAAUCUACAUACCUAAAAGGCAUAUUAUUAUUCUGCUGGGAUGUUUCGGAAUGUUGAAUGUGUAUGCCAUGAGAAUCAACCUUAGCGUUGCAAUAGUGGCCAUGACAAAUCAUACAUCUAUUAACCCUCUAAACAACUCUAUCAGUCAAGUUUCGGAAUGUUCAAACCUCCUACAAAAUCAAACAACACACGAAGUCAUGAAUUAUAAAGGUGAGAAGUACAAUUGGAAUUCCAAAACACAAGGAGUUAUACUUGGAUCCUAUUAUUAUGGAUAUGUCAUUACACAAUUGCCUGGUGGCAUUUUGGCAGAAAAACUGGGUGCAAAAUGGGUGUUUGGUGGAGGAGU